rnacentral:rRNA from 1 species
UACGUAGGGUGCAAGCGUUGUCCGGAAUUAUUGGGCGUAAAGAGCUCGUAGGUGGCCUGUCGCGUCGGCUGUGAAAACUCGGGGCUCAACUCCGAGCUUGCAGUCGAUACGGGCAGGCUAGAGUUCGGCAGGGGGAGACUGGAAUUCCUGGUGUAGCGGUGAAAUGCGCAGAUAUCAGGAGGAACACCGGUGGCGAAGGCGGUUCUCGUGGGCCUUACCUGACACUGAGGAGCGAAAGCGUGGGGAGCGAACGG